UAGGGAAUAUUAGAAAUGGACGAAAGUCUGAUCUAGCAACACCGCGUGUGCGAAGAAGGCCUUCGGGUCGUAAAGCACUUUUUGGAAGGAAUAGGAAGGAAUGUACUUCCAGAAUAAGUCUCGGCUAACUACGUGCCAGCAGCCGCGGUAACACGUAGGAGGCAAACGUUAUCCGGAUUUACUGGGCGUAAAGCGCGUGUAGGUGGUACUGUAAGUAGGGCGUGAAAGCUCCUGGCUCAACUGGGAGAGGCCGUUCUAAACUACAGAACUAGAGGAUGUUAGAGGGAGGUGGAAGUCCAGGUGUAGCGGUGGAAUGCGCAGAUAUCUGGAGGAACACCGGUGGCGAAGGCGGCCUCCUGGACCAUUCCUGACACUCAGACGCGAAAGCUAGGGUAGCAAACG
rnacentral:rRNA from 1 species